UCACGCGGGUGACCCGGGUUCGAUCCCCGGCAACGGCGCUAACAUUUUUU
rnacentral:sRNA from 1 species